rnacentral:rRNA from 1 species
GACGAACGCUGGCGGCGUGCUUAACACAUGCAAGUCGAACGGAAAGGCCCUGCUUUUGUGGGGUGCUCGAGUGGCGAACGGGUGAGUAACACGUGAGUAACCUGUCCUUGACUUUGGGAUAACUUCAGGAAACUGGGGCUAAUACCGGAUAGGAGCUCCUGCUGUAUGGUGGGGGUUGGAAAGCUUCGGCGGUUGGGGAUGGACUCGCGGCUUAUCAGCUUGUUGGUGGGGUAGUGGCUUACCAAGGCUUUGACGGGUAGCCGGCCUGAGAGGGUGACCGGCCACAUUGGGACUGAGAUACGGCACAGACUCCUACGGGAGGCAGCAGUGGGGAAUAUUGCACAAUGGGCGGAAGCCUGGUGCAGCAACGCCGCGUGCGGGAUGACGGCCUUCGGGUUGUAAACCACUUUCGCCUGUGACGAGGCGUGAGUGACGGUAAUGGGUAAAGAAGCACCGGCUAACUACGUG